GUUGCGUCAUUUUUCUAGUGUGUCACGGAACACCGGCUACUGAGGGGUUGGCCAAUAAUGGACUAGUCCAUAAUGCUUCACCGAGGGUACCAAGAUAUUUUUGAAUUUACUGUAUACUAUGAAACGUGAAUACACUUCGUUGACGAUAUAUUCGAAAGUUUUAUUUCCCUUCACAGAUGGAUAAAAGUCUACAUUUUAAAAAGAUCUAAUACAACGAUCCCCCUCAUUUCAGCAGUGGUUCGAGCCGUACUGACACUUGCACCAAAGAGGCGGGAACAUGCGAGAAUUUGGCUUGACUUUUCGUGAACAACCCAAUCAGCGUUCAGUGCGGUUAUGGGCCAGGAAUGACGCACACUGCAUGCGUCACGGUAUGCAGUCAGCGGGUAUCCAGGUAUCCACCUAGAUACCACAGCCGGCCUGUGAGCAUGGAUGCGCUGAUGCUCGUGAGAGAUGCGUCUCACGGCCAUAUUGCAGCAGAUUUCAACAGAACAUUCUUCUUUAACAUGUAGUGGAAGGCAAUUCCAGAGUUCUACCAUCUGGUGGCCAUCUAAUGAAAACGCAUGGUUUCGAUGCUCACCUGCCA